UCUGGCGGCAGUAGCGCGGUGGUCCCACCUGACCCCAUGCCGAACUCAGAAGUGAAACGCCGUAGUGCCGAUGGUAGUGUGGGGUCUCCCCAUGCGAGAGUAGGGAACUGCCAGAC
rnacentral:rRNA from 6 species